UACGUAGGGAGCAAGCGUUGUUCGGAUUUACUGGGCGUAAAGGGCGCGUAGGCGGCGCGGUAAGUCACUUGUGAAAUCUCUGAGCUUAACUCAGAACGGCCAAGUGAUACUGCAGUGCUAGAGUGCAGAAAGGGCAAUCGGAAUUCUUGGUGUAGCGGUGAAAUGCGUAGAUAUCAAGAGGAACACCUGAGGCGAAGGCGGGUUGCUAGGCUGACACUGACGCUGAGUGCGCGAAAGCCAGGGGAGCAAACGGGAUUAGAAC
rnacentral:rRNA from 1 species